UGUCUCAGUGCAAGCCGCAUUAAGGUGAAACCGCGAAAGGCUCAUUAAAUCAGUUGUGGUUCCUUAGAUCGUACCCAAGUUACUUGGAUAACUGUGGUAAUUCUAGAGCUAAUACAUGCCGACAGAGUUCCGACCGUCGCGGCGCCCCCGGGCGUCGCGUGCGGGAGGAACGCUUUUAUUAGAUCAAAACCGGCCCGUCGCGGCGCGCCUCGUGCGCGUCCCGAUCGCGGCCCGCGCAAAGACCUGGUGACUCUGAAUAACUUCGAGCUGAUCGCACGGUCUCCGUACCGGCGACGCAUCUUUCAAAUGUCUGCCUUAUCAACUGUCGACGGUAGGUUCCAUGCCUACCGUGGUGGUAACGGGUAACGGGGAAUCAGGGUUCGAUUCCGGAGAGGGAGCCUGAGAAACGGCUACCACAUCCAAGGAAGGCAGCAGGCGCGCAAAUUACCCACUCCCGGAACGGGGAGGUAGUGACGAAAAAUAACGAUACGGGACUCAUCCGAGGCCCCGUAAUCGGAAUGAGAACACUUUA
rnacentral:rRNA from 1 species